GGGGGGGCUUAUAUUCGGAAGUUUACGGUAUUAUAUAAUAACUACAGUGAAACACGCAAUUUGAUUGGUCAAUAGCCGUGCAGGAUCAGGCUAUCCUGCACGAGGAAUUAAAAUGCCUUCGCGGGAUUUUUGCGGGAUUCUCAAAAUGUCAUUGUUUCACUGUAGUUAUUUUAUACAACAAUUACCAAAUGGUUUUCCAAGCAGGAUAGCGCGAUCGAUGCACUUGGGAUGUUGCUCGACUUCGGGAAGCGUAAAAAUACACUCGCCUGCGGUUCGAGUAUUUUUACGCUUUCCGAAAGUCUCGCGACAUCCCUCGUGCAUGGAUCACGCAAUCCUGCACGGAAAACCAUUCGGUAUUCCUUUAAUACUAAGUGUAAAGGAUUGAGGUAGCUGAAAUACAGAGAAGGAAUUUAUCAGCAUUACUUGAAUAAUAAUUAGUUGCGUGAUGCUUUUAAGGACAUCUCAUUUAUUUUCGCAUUUGACCUACUUAGAUGUAAUAAACUAGAAAUAUUGAG